rnacentral:lncRNA from 10 species
CUCAAACUCCGUUUUUUGCCUUUUGGUGUGACCAGAUGCCUGGAGGGUGUGGAGAUGGGUAUUUCCCUUUCCUCAGGUAGAUUAGGCUCCGGUAAAACUUCAGAGGUGAGAUUCUGCCUGAAUAAUUUCUCCUAAGGACAGAUCUUGUUAACAAGAACGGAAUGCUCUGGUAUAUUUCAAGAUGGUUCUUCUCUCCUCCUACCCCAUGUCCCCUUUGACUAGAAGCAAGAUGGGUUUUUUAACUCUGAUAUUCACUGUGAGAUAAAGCUCCUGGAGGUGAAACUUACAAAAAAAGUGGGGUCACUGUGACUGGGUCCACCGGAAGAUUUUAACUCUCAAGAAUUGCCUACACUGAGCUUCAAGCAAUUUGUCAAUUACAGUUCAGGUUUUCCUACCCAGCACUGGUUCCGGAGGAGGUUGCAAGUUGUCUGAGUUUCUGCUCUAAUGUGGCAUCUUAUUUUCUUCAGCAUCCACCUGUCUAUCUUGAUUUGUCCAGGCUUUCCUAAUGCAUUAGUGCUUCAGUCCGUUCUCCAGGUUGAGAUAGCAAUCCCUCAUAUCACUUUGGAAUAAGUUGCUUUGUACGUUUCAUGAAGAAAGAAGCUCUGCUUGUCUCAUUUAUUGCUGCAUCUUCCUUGCAGGACUGGUAUGCAUGGCCACGCAUUGUUAAACAUUCCACACUCACAAUGAGGUUGGUGUGACAGCUGGGGACCAGGCGGAGAUCCGUACUGUGGUGGCACUCAUGCACCUGUUGUUGGUAGUGAACUUCUGGCUGCCAUUCAGUCAGCAGCUGUUAACUACUAAGGUGCCAGGACAAAAUGAAAUGCAACCAAGAAGUCAUGCCCCAUCACAAAGUGCAAUUUGAGGAAAACAAGAAGGCAGAUGUUUUGCCAUUGAGCCAGAAUUAAGGUUGUCAAUUCCAAGGACAAGAUUUGGCAGCAUUCCUGCAACACAAAAAUGUUAUCACUAGGAGUCACUGGCAUGUCAUAGAUCUGGGUUUCCUCCAAG